rnacentral:lncRNA from 1 species
UGUAUUCAACAGCUAUUGAUUGUGCACCUGCUCUAUGCAAGGUCAACAAUGAAAACUCAUCAUUUUUCUGUUUUUGCACUUUAGAAUUCCAGACAUUGCUGGAAGCAGAGAUGGACAAGAUGUUACCCACACUGGUUCUAAUACCCGUGACCCAUUUAUCCCAAGGAGAAAUUAUCCAUGUGGCAUACUGGUUUAACAUCUAGACCACCAAACAAAGACUCCACCAUUCUCCUUGAGGAACAUUGUCACCAAGUUAAAUUGAAAGUUGACGUAUGUCAACUCAAAACAGAUGAGAAACGGCAGGGUGCUUUAUGGAUUGAGAGCCAAGAAGGUAAAAAUUCUAGUCUUAUCUCUAUUGCUGACUUGUUCAAUGACUGUGGUGUGUUUAUCACUUAUUCCUAACUACUCUUCCCUCUGGCUAAAAACCAGAACAAUGUCUACAGAAGAUUUUGAGCUCCGAGGAGAAUAGCUCUCAAUAAGUUCAGCUGGAAGUAAUAAAGGCUUCCUUUUAUAAGCAUAGAGUUAGCUUGUCUGGAUUCAAAUCCCAACCCCCAACAGCUUGGUACUAACUCUGAAUGAAUCACUAUUAAAGAGUGGUAAAAGGUCUUUUGUUAUUGUACAUAAUACUGCAAUGAACAUCUUUUAGCACAUAAAUGUGUUUGUGCAUUUACAUGUUCAUAACUGUAGGGGGAAUUCCUAAAAGUGGACUUCUUCACUGAAAUCUUAUUAAAAUGAGAUUCUCUGACAUCAAUUUAAAAUGUUCAUGUAUACUGCUAACUGGCCCUUCAAAAAAGUUACACCAAAUUUGUACUCCUGAGUAUAUGUAAGUUCCUAUUUCCUCAUACCCUUGCUCACACUAUUCAAUGGCAAUUUUAAGUUUUUAAUCAUUAUUAAUCUCAAAAGCCAAAGAAGAAAUUUCAUUGUAAUUUGCACUUCUUUAAGGAAAGAUGUGCAUCUUUACCUAUUUCUUUAGUCUUUCAUUAAUUUAAGAGAUUUUUUAAAAACAGAAAAGUUGGGAAGAAGUUCUAAUUAAUUUCAUUCAUGUACGAUAUUUAUAAAUUUGAAAAUGUAUUGUAGUUAGCAGUACUAACUGAAAAAGGACAAAACCUCCCAGGUACGAACAGCAGAAAGCCCUAGCUAUCUAUCACCUGAGUUAUUACCAUACUAAUCAUUGACAUAACCCAUAUUAUAUGUAAAGCAAAAUGCAAAGAAGCCCAAGAUGUGAUCUCUGUCCUUAAGGAGUUCAUAGUAAAGAACAUAAGACACAUUUGCAUGAAAUCAUAACAAUCUGAGAUCAUAAGAGGAAUGAAUAAUAAAGACCGCAAAGUGCUCUAGGAAUUAAGGAAAGAAAGUUCAUCUUCAGUUGGAGUAGUUAAAGAAUGUAAAGGAUAUCCCUUGAAGAAAACAAAUGCUUGAAUAGGCAGAGAGAAAGAUUCAAAAGUACAGAAAGGAGAAGUAAGUGAGAGGCAACAGUUGGGUAGACAAGGGUGAAGAGAAGGGAGGUUCGGAUGAGGGAACAGUGGGAAAGUUUACACAUGGAAAGAUGGAUUGAGGUCAAAUUACUGAAGGCCUUGCUUACCCGGUGUAGGCUGGAUUUUAUGCUAUGGGAGCAACCAAAAUUUUUGACAAGAGUAUAGACAUAAUGAAAAUAAUUUUUGGAAUGACCAUUUUGACCUAUAGAUAAUGAAUGAUGAAUGAAUGGAUGGAUGGAAAUGUUGCAUUGGAACAGGGGAUGACAGUCGUAUUAAUACUUUCUGUGGGAGAGAAUCAACUAUUUAAAGGAAAAGUGAUAUGGAUUUUCAUUGACUUGUAAUGCAUAAAGCAGCUAUAGAACUAAUGAUACCUAAUGAGACCUAAGAAAAGAAUACUGAACCAAACCUGGAACUCUUUGCACGUAGAUUGAACAUUCCAGUGCCUUUUUCUAAAUCUGAGUCAGCUUUCAGACCCCUCCACUCACUCAUGCUGAUGAUGAUAUAAGUCUUUCCUUGUUGGGUCUGGAAUUCAUACCAAUUUUCUCACAGACCAAGAAAUUCCAAACAUGCUAUUGUCAUUACACCUCAUCUGUCAACCUAAGGAAUGGCUUUAUUUAUUCUUGUGAUUUGGAGAAAUGAGGUGAUGGUAGAAAGGCUCAAAAUAAUGGGAGGAAGGUGUUGGCUUCAGAGAACCAGCAAUUCCUUUCUUACUUCAUUUCCUUUGCAUAUUCCUUAAUGGUUAGGUGAUUGAGCUGAGCCCCUUGCACUGCAACUGCAAUGCUGUAUUC